UACGGAGGGUGCAAGCGUUAUCCGGAUUUACUGGGCUUAAAGGGCGCGUAGGCGGGUCUGUAAGUCAGUGGUGAAAUCUCCGAGCUUAACUCGGAAACUGCCAUUGAUACUAUAGGUCUUGAAUUAUCUGGAGGUAAGCGGAAUAUGUCAUGUAGCGGUGAAAUGCUUAGAUAUGACAUAGAACACCAAGUGCGAAGGCAGCUUACUACGGAUCGAUUGACACUGAGGCACGAAAGCGUGGGGAUCAAACAGG
rnacentral:rRNA from 1 species